UGAGAAUUGGCAGGUGCCUGCCAGGAGGGGGAUGUUAUGUCAGCACAGGUGUCAGAGAACGCGAGAGGUUUCUGAAGGAGACAAAAAUAUGGAAGGGUGUAGCUCCAAUUGCCACCAGCAACCAUCUUCAACUCUGAGGCAAAUCACCAGAACUGAGCACAGGGGCCCUCAGUAAACAUUACAGAAUGAAUAAAGUAAUUAAUGAUGAAUCUGAACCUUUCAAACACCCUUGUGAGGUUUCCCUUGGGACCAACAGUAAUAGCAUUUGCUAUGAAUGCAAAAGUUAUGGCUGAGCAGGCACUUUUUGUAUCUGGAGGUUUGGGACCACCUCCUCCUGGGUACAUUAACUCAUAAGAAGGAAGAGAACCAGGUCAAUCAUUUCUCAACAUGAUGUCAGUCAUUGUAUUAAACCAGUGGUCCCCAGACUUUUGGAUUUCAUGGAACAUUAACAGUUUUAUUUUUUAAAGGGGAG